CCAACAUGGAUACCCAGGAAGUCACUCUCCCCAGGCUCUGUCCAGGCGGCCUAGGGGAGCAUAGGGCUCUUCCCCGUGAUAUACAAUCCCUUUCCACAAUGUUGGAGGAGAAGCUGGGCUUGUGCCUGCACCUGCACAUUCCCACAACUUUGCAGAAUCCUUUGGGCAGUGACUGAGGAGAUAAACGAUGCAGGAAACAGUC
ensembl:snoRNA SNORA73 Small nucleolar RNA SNORA73 family